ACAACUCCCAGCAUCGCUCCCUCUUAGAACGUCUGAUUCUUGGGGUUGAUUUUCUGAUUCUGAAAUAUUGUUAAGUCUGUGAUCCCACAAAAUUAAGAUGCGGGGUUCGCUUUGUUCUAGGGUUCACAACCCCAAGGUUCUCCGUGCCUAGAGGUGAGCAACUCCAGGCUUCCAGGGUCCGGCUCCCCACUGCCCCCAGCCCCCAGCCAGCCCCUCACCUGGCCCAGAAGCCACAGCCAGGGCAACAAGGAACAGCAGGGCUGUCUUCAUCUCGGGUGUUCCCGGGGCAGUGGGAGCCCCUCCUCUCCGGAGGCCUUAUAGCUGGGACCGGUGCUGGUGGGAGGGAGGGGCGGGGACAUGCCCCUUCCGGCCUGGCCCACGCCCUCCAGCGAGGCACACCCCUGCCCUGCCAGCUGGAGGGAUCUCUGCCCGCGCUCCACCACCACCCCCCACCACCCCCCACCGCCUGCCCUUCUCUGGGCUGUGGACAGAGGCCUCAGCUGGCUCUGCAGCCUGCCUCUUCUCUGUCCUCUGCCCAGCUCUGGUUACUUUGUCUUUGACCUUCCGCUUUGUCUCUGACUUCCACCCUCAGAUAAGGUCACAGAGUCCCAAGCCUGUGUGGUUGCCCUGGGGGUGCCCAGUGCUGUGCUCGGGGCCGAGGGGCGUGGUGCAGGAGGAGGUUCAGGCCCUGCCUUCUUGGGCUCCCGGGGGCUCUGGGUUGCUAGGUUGACCCCCAGGGGUCCUGGGGAAAAGACCCUAGGGAAGUGAAGUGUUCACUAAGAUGUCUGGACCUCGGGAGAAGGAGAAAGGAGCUCUCGGGGCAGGGACGUGGAUGCCAGAUGUGCCUGUGGAGAGGCCCAGGCCCCCUCCUCGCCAAGUGCUCCCUCCGCCAUGUUCCAGCCCGGCCCUCCUCCAGCAGCUGCCUGUGUCCUGCCUUGUGACAAUUGCUCUCCGUGUCUGCUUUGGUCCUGAAAGGCAGUGUGCUCUUCCAGGCCAGGCCUAGGGCCCCUCCCGGUGCGGGGUUCGGCUGGGGGCUGCCGGGCAGAUCCCGCCGCACCUUCCCCCUCCAGCACUGCUCACAGGAAGGACUCGGGCCUCUGCGCGUAGGCUCCCCCUUCCCUUGUCCCUCUCCCCACAGGUUUCCCUGUCUGCUUGCUGGCCCUGGGACCCCACUACUUCUCCAAUGUGCCCGGCAGACCCUGCUAGGAGGUGCGGGUGGGACCCGCAGAGGCAGGCUGUGAUGACGCUGAGUGGGGCCGGGGCACCGAUGGAGGUCGGCCCUGGGCCGCUGCCAGCAGCCGAACCUGCCGGUGGACAUCCCCCUGAGGGUCUGGUGGGGCAGCGCCUGCUGUGGGGAUCUGGGCCAGCCUAAGGCUCUUUGGAGCAGAGGCUCAGGACGGUCAGGUCUGGGCUACAGACCCCUGGCCUUUCCUCCUGGCAGGCCCCCAGGCAAGCUGGCUUCUGAGCUGGGCCUCACCUCCUCCCUGCCGAGUCGGGGGUGCAUAUCGUGAUGCUGGGGGUCCAAAGAGGUGUGCCCAGCCUGAAGCAGUCACUGGACCUGCAAGACCUGCACGAUGGUGGAGGGGUGGUGCUGCGGUGCCUUCCAGGAUCCUGGGGGGCACGGGGGGGGGGCAGGCAGGAGCCCCCGAGGCAACCCCGCAUCAGCCACCUGAGCCCGCAAAGGCUGCCUGGCCUACUGGCUGGUCCCUGGGGCUUGUUUAAGGCAGCUGGGGUCUGGAUUGACAAGGCAGGUGACGUGGGGGUCCCUGGGCCCUGAUCCAGAGAGGGAAAGUCACCCUGAGCUCUGAGGCCUCCCUCGGAGUGGAAGGAGGGUGCCCAGGAGGCCCUGGGAAGCAGGGCACAGGGCUCAGUGACAGGGUGGCAACUAGCGAGGGGUGGCAGAUGGCAGGUGGGGAGUGGUGACUACUUGGCCAAGGGUCAUGGAAGCUGCUGGAAAAAUAGGUCUGGCGGAUUGGAUUUCCUGUCGGGCCCGGUGGUGCUGCAGGAUCCAGGGAUGUCGGGCCAGCUGGGAGUGGAGGUCUGGGCGUGAGGGAGCUGGGCAGCGGGGUCCCUGCAUGUGGGGCUGGAGGGGGCCCUGUACCCCCGAUCCACCUCCGUGAGGCACCUCAGGCUUUUACGUGGCUGUGUGCCCUGGUGGCAGGGCUAGACACUGGAGCAGAGGCAGCAGCUGGUCCUGUUCUGUGGGAAGGAGGCCUUUGCCCCAGCAGGGCUGCCCACGAGGACGCGAGCUGCCUCUCCUGGGGCUUCCUAGCAGAAACAUCAACCCCAGAUACACUUUACUUGUGGGAGAAAGUGGGUGAUUCCAUGACUGGGGCUCUCAGAGAACUGGGAGUUACCAGGACGGUGCAGUCGGGGAGGGCUUCCUGCAGGCAGUGCUCUGGCCACCACGGUCUUAGAGGCCGGGUUCAGGGGAGAGAGGAGCCCUGAAGCUCGUCCCCUACCAACCCCUUUCACCAGUGAGGAAAUAAGGGCCAGAGAGGGCCGGGCUGGCGCCAGGUCAUCCAGGAGUGGGGCAGAGACUGGCUUGUUUCUGUCACCACUGACCCCUCCUUCCCUCCGCCCUCACAUGCUGGAGAGAGCAGCUGCUUUCCAGAACCCGAGCCCUCCUAUCAGCCUGGGUCCCUAGACCUGACUGUACCAGCAGGCGUGACGCCCAGGAGAGGCCUUGGAGGGAAUACUACCCCCUACACCCACCCCCAGCCCUGCCUGCUCCCUGAACUCAGCUGGCCAGGAAGCCAGACGCCAGGACAAGCCCAGGCCUCUGCCUGCAGCUGAGAGUUUUAGAAGGACUCAGCACGUACCAGGCACAGAGGGUGCAAUGGAGACUGAACGAGGAGAGACAGCUGGAGUGAGGUGACUUCCCCUGAGUCAGGCAGCGGAGUGAUGCAGGGUUUCCCUUGGGCUUGCUCUGUUCCUAGAAAACAGUAAUUCUCAAAGACCACGGAAUGAAACCUGGUGGGACUCUGAGAGCCUUAGGUCUGCAGGUGGUUGGCAGGCAGCUCUGGAACUUGCAACACCUGACAUGCAGACACUCCCUUUUUAUUUAAGAUUAUGUUAACUGGGGAGGAGAAGGGCUUUGGGAGGACAUCACUGAUCCUAACCCUUAAGAGGGGAAUAAAUAUCUAAUAUAAAUCA